AGUGAACGCUGGCGGUAGGCCUAACACAUGCAAGUCGAACGGCAGCACAGUAAGAGCUUGCUCUUACGGGUGGCGAGUGGCGGACGGGUGAGGAAUACAGCGGAAUCUACUUUUUCGUGGGGGCUAACGUAGGGAAACUUACGCUAAUACCGCAUACGACCUACGGGUGAAAGCAGGGGAUCUUCGGACCUUGCGCGAUUGAAUGAGCCGAUGUCGGAUUAGCUAGUUGGCGGGGUAAAGGCCCACCAAGGCGACGAUCCGUAGCUGGUCUGAGAGGAUGAUCAGCCACACUGGAACUGAGACACGGUCCAGACUCCUACGGGAGGCAGCAGUGGGGAAUAUUAGACAAUGGGCACAAGCCUGAUCCAGCCAUACCGAGUGGGUGAAGAAGGCCUUCGGGUUGUAGAGCCCUUUUGUUGGGAAAGAAAAGCAGAAGGUUAAUACCCCGCUGUUCUGACGGUACCCAAAGAAUAAGCACCGGCUAACUUCGUG
rnacentral:rRNA from 1 species